rnacentral:rRNA from 1 species
AAACCAACAGGGAUUGCCUCAGUAGCGGCGAGUGAAGCGGCAAGAGCUCAAAUUUGAAAUCGGAUGCCUUUGGUAUUCGAGUUGUAAUUUGAAGAAUCCAUUCUAUCGGGGGACGCCUUGUUUAAGUUCCUUGGAAUAGGACGCCAUAGAGGGUGAGAGCCCCGUGAAGCGAGAGUCGUCUUUUGUUAUUAGAAGGGUUCUAAGAGUCGAGUUGUUUGGGAAUGCAGCUCUAAGUGGGUGGUAAAUUCCAUCUAAGGCUAAAUAUUGGCGAGAGACCGAUAGCGAACAAGUACAGUGAUGGAAAGAUGAAAAGAACUUUGAAAAGAGAGUGAAAAAGUACGUGAAAUUGUUGAAAGGGAAGGGUAUUUGGCCGUACGUGGUAUUUAGAUAUCGGGGCUCCUUGUGGGCUCUGCUCUAUCUUUUUACUGGGCCAGCAUCAGUUUUUGCGGGAGUAGAAUUGCAGUUGAAUGUGGCCCCUCGGGGUGUUAUAGCUUCUGUAGAUGCUGCCAGCGGGGACUGAGGACUGCGGAGUCUUGUGCUCCAAGGAUGCUGGCAUAGAGGUCGCAUACCGCCCGUCUUGAAACAUGGACCAAGGAGACUAACGUCUAUGCGAGUGUUUGGGUGAUUAAACUCUUACGCGGAAUGAAAGUGAACGUAGGUCGGAGCCCUCCACGUGGGGGCGCACGAUCGACCGAUCCUGAUGUUUAUCGGAAGGAUUUGAGUAAGAGCAUAGCUGUUGGGACCCGAAAGAUGGUGAACUAUGCCUGAAUAGGGUGAAGCCAGAGGAAACUCUGGUGGAGGCUCGCAGCGGUUCUGACGUGCAAAUCGAUCGUCAAAUUUGGGUAUAGGGGCGAAAGACUAAUCGAACCAUCUAGUAGCUGGUUCCUGCCGAAGUUUCCCCCAGGAUAGCAGAAGCUCGUGACAGUUUUAUGAGGUAAAGCGAAUGAUUAAAGGAUCUGGGCCCGAAAUGGGCUCAGCCUAUUCUCAAACUUUAAAUAUGUAAGAAGCCCUUGUUACUUAAGUGAACGUGGGCAUUCGAAUGUAGAGCUUUUAGUGGGCCAUUUUUGGUAAGCAGAACUGGCGAUGCGGGAUGAACCGAACGCGAAGUUAAGGUGCCGGAAUGCACGCUCAUCAGACACCACAAAAGGUGUUAGUCCAUCUAGACAGCCGGACGGUGGCCAUGGAAGUCGGAACCCGCUAAGGAAUGUGUAACAACUCACCGGCCGAAUGAACUAGCCCUGAAAAUGGAUGGCGCUCAAGCGUGUUACCUAUACUUUGCCGUCACGGUGGAUUAUUAAUUGCCGUGACGAGUAGGCAGGCGUGGAGGUCAGUGACGAAGCCUAUGGCGUGAGUCUGGGUCGAACGGCCUCUAGUGCAGAUCUUGGUGGUAGUAGCAAAUAUUCAAAUGAGAUCUUUGAAGACUGAAGUGGGGGAAGGUUCCACGUCAACAGCAGUUGGACGUGGGUAAGUCGAUCCUAAGAGAUGGGGGAACUCCGUUUUAAAGUGCCUGAUUGUCAAAAUUUCAGGCCACCAUCGAAAGGGAAUCCGGUUAAGAUCCCGGAACUUGGAUAUGGAUUCUUCACGGUAACGUAACAGAAUGUGGAGACGUCGGCGUGAGCCCUGGGAGGAGUUUUCUUUUCUUGCUAACAGCCUAUGACCCUGGAAUUGGUUUAUCCGGAGAUGGGGUUUUAUGGUUGGAAGAGCGUGGCCUUUUUGUUUGCCACGUCCGGUGCGCUCACGACGGUCCUUGAAAAUCCACAGGAAGGAAUAGUUUUCAUGCCAAGUCGUACUGAUAACCGCAGCAGGUCUCCAAGGUUAACAGCCUCUAGUUGAUAGAAUAAUGUAGAUAAGGGAAGUCGGCAACAUAGAUCCGUAACUUCGGGAUAAGGAUUGGCUCUAAGGGUCGGGUAGCCUGGGUCUUUCUCAGACGCCUGCUGGGCCUGCGAGGCUGCCUUCGGGCUGGCUUUGCGGGUCUGCGUGGUUGACGGGACUGAUAGGAAUUCUACGAGAGCCGUCUGGGCUACGAUUAACGACCGACUUAGAACUGGUACGGACAAGGGGAAUCUGACUGUCUAAUUAAAACAUAGCAUUGCGAUGGUCAGAAAGUGAUGUUGACGCAAUGUGAUUUC